CGAAAUAGCUCAAUUGGUAGAGCAACUGACUUGUAAUCAGUAGGUUACGGGUUCAAUUCCUGUUUU
rnacentral:tRNA from 1 species